rnacentral:rRNA from 1 species
GCNCGCGGCCUAUCAGCUUGUUGGUGAGGUAAUGGCUCACCAAGGCGACGACGGGUAGCCGGCCUGAGAGGGCGACCGGCCACACUGGGACUGAGACACGGCCCAGACUCCUACGGGAGGCAGCAGUGGGGAAUAUUGCACAAUGGGCGAAAGCCUGAUGCAGCGACGCCGCGUGAGGGAUGAAGGCCUUCGGGUUGUAAACCUCUUUCAGUAGGGAAGAAGCGCAAGUGACGGUACCUACAGAAGAAGCACCGGCUAACUACGUGCCAGCAGCCGCGGUAAUACGUAGGGUGCGAGCGUUGUCCGGAAUUAUUGGGCGUAAAGAGCUUGUAGGCGGUUUGUCGCGUCUGCCGUGAAAAUCCGGGGCUCAACUCCGGACUUGCGGUGGGUACGGGCAGACUAGAGUGUGGUAGGGGAGACUGGAAUUCCUGGUGUAGCGGUGAAAUGCGCAGAUAUCAGGAGGAACACCGAUGGCGAAGGCAGGUCUCUG